rnacentral:lncRNA from 1 species
AAGAAGUCAGGCCGAUUUAAGCCAUAGUACGGUAAGAGCUAUGCUGCCUGUGAGCCCCGUCCAAGGACGUAAAAUGAAGUCAGGCCGAAAGCCACGGCUUGAGCAAACCGUGCUGCCUGUGGCUCCAUCGUGGGGAUGUAAAACCCGGGAGGCUGCAACCCAUGGAAGCUGUACGCAUGGGGUAGCAGACU